UGCAAGUAUCCGCACACCCGUGAGAACGCCCUUACCCCUCUUUCAGGACAAGGAGCCGGUAUCAGGCACAGACCAUCUUGCCCAUAACACCUAGCUUUGCCACACCCUCAAGGGUAUUCAGCAGUGAUAAACCUUGUUUAUAAGCGCCAGCUUGAUUCAGUUAGAGUAAUACAGAGCCGGCUAACCCGGUGCCAGCCGCCGCGGCUACACCGUGGGACUCAAGUUGAUAGACAUCGGCGUUAAGCGUGUUUAAAGUGACUAAAAGAUUAGAAUUAAACCUCAAUAAAGCUGUGACAACCUUAUUAGAGAGAGAACCAAAAACGAAAGUUAUUCUAACCUAACCACUUGAAUCCACGAUAGCUAGGAAACAAACUGGGAUUAGGUACCCCACUAUGCCUAGCCGUAAAAUAUUUAAUCACACCAAAACCGCCAGGGAAUUACGAGCCCAAGCUUAAAACCCAAAGGACUUGACGGUGUCCCACCCACCUAGAGGAGCCUGUUCUGUAAUCGAUAAUCCCCGAUAAACCUCACCACUUUUUGCUAUUCAGCCUGUAUACCUCCGUCGUAAGCUUACCAUAUGAACGUCUAUUAGUGAGCUCAAAGAUCCAUCAUCCAUACGUCAGGUCAAGGUGCAGCCCACAAAGUGGGAAGAAAUGGGCUACAAUUUCUAACAUAGAACAAACGGAAAAACUGCAUGAAACACAGUCAAUAAGGUGGAUUUAGUAGUAAAAAGAAAGCAGAGUGUUCUUUUUAAUUAGGCACUGGGACGCGUACACACCGCCCGUCACCCUCUUCAAAUGCCCCUAAAAAGUCAAUGACAACAUACCGCACACCAGAA
rnacentral:ncRNA from 1 species